rnacentral:tRNA from 1 species
UCCCUACUGGUCCAGUGACUGGGACUCUGCACUCCCAAUGCAGGGAGCCUGGGUUCAAUUCCUGAUCAGGGAA